GAGCCUGAUGAUUGCUACUGGUACUACUACAGUCGCCACCGUAGCAGCCAGUGCCUCCACAGGCGCCACCCCUCACCUCCACCUCCACCUCGGAGAAUCUUUCCCGGUCAUGGACCACGAGUACUUCCACCUCGACAACAGCCAAAGAGAGCACCGGCACCGGCUCCAGUGAACUCACCGGCCCCAGCUCCCCCAUCCCGAGGGAAUUAUGCACCGGCUCCGGCACCCCAAGAGAAUACACCGGCUCCGACACCCGGAGGAAAUGCACCGGCUCAUGCACCCAGAGGGAGUGCACCGGCUCCUGCACCACAAGUGAAACCACCGGCUCCUACACCUGGAGUUACACCAACUCCCCCACCCCCUAUACCUGCUCCAUACCCGACGCCUUCAAAAAAGAAUGAUUCUUCAGACAACGAAGUCAUUAAAGAACUGUUAUCCUUGAUCGGUCCUGGUGCUCUCCUUGCAAGUGGUCUCGCUGGCGAUGGUGCCGCUGGCGAAGCCGGAUCAGAAGCUGUAGCUGCAGAGGUCCUUAAAGAACUCUUAGAUCAAUAUUGUAAUAUGAUGAAAAAUUGACUUACAAGAAGCUCAUAGAGUCAUAGUGAAAUAAUCUAUUGAAUAAAUUAUCACCGUUUGACGAUAUAAGAUAUUCAACGGAGUCUUAGACUACAAUAUUGGUAAGGGUGCUCCCCUAAUGCAGAUUAUUAAGAAUUC